rnacentral:rRNA from 1 species
GAGUAAUGUCUGGGAAACUGCCUGAUGGAGGGGGAGUAACUACUGGAAACGGUAGCUAAUACCGCAUAACGUCGCAAGACCAAAGAGGGGGACCUUCGGGCCUCUUGCCAUCAGAUGUGCCCAGAUGGGAUUAGCUAGUAGGUGGGGUAACGGCUCACCUAGGUGACGAUCCCUAGCUGGUCUGAGAGGAUGACCAGCCACACUGGAACUGAGACACGGUCCAGACUCCUACGGGAGGCAGCAUG